AUGGUCGCCAAUAGGAAAGUUUGGAAAGUUGUUUUGGCCUUUGAAUUUGUAUUUUUCCUUUAUGUGAAUUGUGAUUGAGUUUAUACUUUAUAGAGAAUUUGAUGUUGUUGCAAAAGUGAAGGUGGGUGCAUGGAACAAAUAGUAUAAAUACCCGGGUGGUUCUGCUUUCUCCUCACACAUUAUAAUGUUACAAUUACAUUUUCAUUGCUCAAGUGUUUGUUACCUUCAAUAAUUGUACCCCAUGCGUUUUCAUACUCCAAGAACUGUUAUUACUUUCAUUCCCUACAUAUAUUAAUAAUCAUCAUUAAGUAAGUUGAGGUCAUUAAUCCACUAGAAAAUUGUGAGCUUUAAUCGGGUCAAUUUCUC